CAAAAGACAGGAAAGCGGCCAAACAUAAGAACAUUCACAUUCUUAGAUAUAUCAAUUCAGUAUGAGCCUAUAUUCCACGUGGCCACAAGUCUGCCUGUCAAAACGUGGUGAAGUGUGAAGUAAAAUGAAUGACAGAAUAAUUUAAACGGCUUCUACUGCUCUCGUUAUUAAAAAGCCAAGCCAAGGGACCUAUAUAUGCUACAGACAACAUCAUGAAGCCGUUCAGGAAUAAAAUAUACGUUGGAUUGUUCUUAAAGAUGGCAAUAAUACUACUGGGCUUUGAGAACUCUAUGGCUGCGGAACAAACUCUGGCCAAUUUUCCAC